rnacentral:tRNA from 1 species
GCGCGAGUAGCUCAAUUGGAUAGAGCAUCGGUCUACGGAACCGAAGGUUACAGGUUCGAGUCCUGUCUCGCGUA